UUUUAUUAUAAGCUGGGAAGGGAAAGAGGGAAUAAGAGAUAGUUUACCUUUUGUAUUAGGGACUAAUGAGUUAUUUAUUUGUUAGAAAUAUUUCCUAUAUAGUUUUAUUAAGUUUUUAUUGAGAAUUUGUUUUAUUAAAGGGACAUAGAAAAGUUAAAAUUAAAAGUUGAGAGGAAAUUAGGUUAUAUGAUUUCUUACGAAACUAAUAAAAUUAGUAGUUUAGGGAAAUGUUAAAUUUUUAGGGGAUUAGCUCUUGAAAAUUUUAAAUAUUGUGUUAGGUUUAUAUUAACAAUAUUUAUAAAUGAUUAUGUUUAAAAUAUUUUUAUUCUUCUUUAUAAACUUAUUUUUUUUUAUUAAGUUAGAAGUUGGAGAGCAAUAUUAACUAUAUUUUUGUAUUAAAAUGUUAGUAUAAGUAUAGUAGGAAUUUAGGGGAAUAAUACUCUUGAAAUGAACUUGAAGAUUAAUUAAAUGUUUAUUAAAAACAUUUUUAUAAGAAGUUUAUUUGUAAUAGGUUCUGCUCACUGGUUUUGUAAAAUUAAAGAGCUGCAGUAUAAUGACUGUACAAAGGUAGCAUAAUCAUUUGGUUUUUAAUUGAAAUCUGGAAUGAAAGAAUGAAUGAAUUAAUCGUUGGUUUUUUGUUGAUUUAGAAUUUAUUAUGUUAGUAAAAAUUCUAAUAGGUGAAAAAUAGACAAGAAGACCCUAUUGAAUUUAAUAAAAUAAAUUUUGUUGGUAAAAGUUUUUUAUUUAUCUGGGGAAGAUUAGAAUUAAAUAUAUUAAUAAAAGUUAUAUAAAGAGCUAAAAGAUUACAUAAAGGAUAAAUUACCAUAGGGAUAACAGCGUUAUUAUUUUUGAUAGUUCAUAUUGACAAUUUAGUUUACGACCUCGAUGUUGAAUUAAUAUAAGUUUUAUUAUGCAGAAGUAAUAAAAACUAGUUUGUUCAACUAUUAAAGUAUUACAUGAUUUGAGUUUAAAUCGGUGUGAGCCAGAUUGGAUUUUAUCUUUUUAUUAUUAUUUUUUGAAUUAGUACGAAAGGAUUU
rnacentral:rRNA from 1 species